ACUAUGAUUCUCACAGUAACUGCGAGUGAACUGAGAAGAGCCCAACGUUAAAAGCUAUGUCUGUAACAGGACAUCGCAUUGUAACGUAUAGAUACACUCUCAAGAUAAAGGCCUACGCUAAAGUUACAUAGAGAGGUACGCCACAGAGGGUGAUAGCCCCGUGUGUGGCGUAGGCUAACUUUAUCAAGCAGGUGUAAUCUAAGAGUCGUGUUGUUUGGGAUUGCAACAUUAAGUAGGUGGUAAACUUCACCUAAGGCUAAAUAUAGACACGAGACCGAUAGCAAAUAAGUACCAUGAGGGAAAGUUGAAAAGAAUCCUGAAAAGGGAGUGAAAAGUACGUGAAACUGUUCAUGGGGAAGCAGACGGUAGAAUCGAAGCAUGUUAUUGAUUGCACUUUUAAGUAUAUGUUUUGCAUAUGCAUAAAGGUGUCCCUCAAUAAUGUUGCGCGCUGAGCUUGUCGUAUUUUGUGUUUUAUACACAGUACAUGCACGCCGGGGUCUACAGUUUAAGAGAAUAGAGGUAGAAUUAUUUACAUUGAACCUUUUAAAUGUAGRCUACUCGCUAUAGGUGCAUAAUAUGACAUGGGCCAAUAAGAAAGGCGAUUUAUGGACGUAUUGAUGAGAUAGUAUACAGUGGAAAGUUGUCAAACUACUGCUGUGCUAACUUGUCAAUUACCAAGUAGAUCUACUCUCAGCGAGAUAUGCUGCUGUC
rnacentral:rRNA from 1 species